UGGGGAAUAUUGCACAAUGGAGGGAACUCUGAUGCAGCGACGCCGCGUGAGUGAUGAAGGAAUUCGUUUCGUAAAACUCUGUUCUAUGGGAAGAAAAGGACUGUACCAUAGGAGAAAGCUCCGGCUAAAUACGGGCCAGCAGACGCGGUAAUACGUAUGGAGCGAGCGUUGUCCGGAAUUACUGGGCGUAAAGGGUGCGCAGGCGGCUUUACAAGUUGGAUGUGAAAUAUUGUGGCUCAACCACAAACGUGCAUCCAAAACUGCAAAGCUUGAGUUAAGGAGAGGUAAGUGGAAUUCCUGGUGUAGCGGUGGAAUGCGUAGAUAUCAGGAGGAAUACCGGUGGCGAAGGCGACUUACUGGACUUAAACUGACGCUCAGGCACGAAAGCGUGGGGAGCAAACAGG
rnacentral:rRNA from 1 species